CGCUGUGCUAUUAUUGGAGCAAAACUAUUCGUUAGUCCUUUUGCUAACUCUGGAUAAUACUGCGUAUCGCAUGACCUCGUGUCGGCGAAGUUUCAUUCGAGUAUCUGCCCUAUCAACUUGCUGGCAGUGUAUUGGACUGCCAUGGUUCUAACGGGUAACGGAGGAUCAGGGUCUGACUCCGGAGAGGGAGCCUUAGAAACGGCUACCAUGUCUAAGGAUAGCAGCAGGCGCGAAAAUUACCCAAUAUCAAUACGAUGAGGUAGUGACGAGAAAUAACGAGUCCGUUCUCUCUGAGGUCGGACAUUGGAAUGGGUACAAUCUAGACAAUUUAACGAGUAUCUACGAGAGGGCAAGUCUGGUGCCAGCAGCCGCGGUAAUUCCAGCUCUCGUAAUACAUAGAAUUAUUGUUGCGGUUAAAAAGUUCGUAGUUGAUCAGCGAACCGUUCGGGGUGCAUCCUAACGGGUGUCACUCGUCGGACGGUAUUUUGCGCGUUUGUGUGCGGUCGCCCUCGCGGUGGCUCGUAUGCUGCGUGCAGGAUUACUUUGAACGGCUUAAGUGCUCAAGGCGGGUCUUAGGACCGAAUACCGGUGCAUGGAAUAAUGGAACAAGGUUGCGGCCGAGUUUUAUUGGUUUUGUCGGCUGAAACAAUGGUUAACAGGAACAGCCGGGGGCAUUCGUAUCGCUGCGCGAGAGGUGAAAUUCGGGGACCGUAGCGAGACGCACUAAAGCGAAGGCAUUUGCCAAGAGUGUUUUCAUUAAUCAAGAACGAAAGUGAGAGGUUCGAAGGCGAUUAGAUACCGCCCUAGUUCUCACCGUAAAUGAUGCCAACUGCCAAUCCGCUGGUGGAUUUAAUUCACGAGCGGGCGGGUUUCCGGAAACGAAAGUCUUUCGGUUCCGGGGGAAGUAUGGUUGCAAAGCUGAAACUUAAAGGAAUUGACGGAAGGGCACCACCAGGAGUGGAGCUUGCGGGCUUAAUUUGACUCAACACGGGAAACCUCACCCGGCCAGCAUCAUCGUAGGAUUGACAGGACCGAUUAGCUCUUUCAUGAUUCGUUGGAUGGUGGUGCAUGGCCGUUCUUAGUUCGUGCUAAAUUGAAGUGUCUGCUUUAUUGCGAUAACGAGCGAGACGCCAACUGUUAACUAGUGCGUUGAUUGGUUCGCUUGUCAACGAUCGACUUCUUAACGGGAUUUGUGGUUACUAGCCUCAAGAAAUGUCGCAAUAACAGGUCUGUGAUGCCCUUAGAUGUUCGGGGCCGCACGCGUGCUACAAUGGUGGUAUCNNNGUGCUUGUCNUACUCCGAAAGGAGAUGGCAAACAGUUGAGAUAUUAUUAUGGCUGGAAGUUGAGUGUUGAAAUUUUCACUCAUGAACGAGGAAUUCCAAGUAAAUGCGAGUCAUCAACUCGCAUNGAUAACGUCCCUGCCCUAUUGUACACACC
rnacentral:rRNA from 1 species